UGUCAGUUCGUAGAAUGAAGUGGGUGUGACCAACUUUGAAAUAAGUGUCACAGUUCACUCAAAAGCUAUGAAUGACUGCAAAACUGAAAACGCCUGCGUUACUGUACAUGAAGAGGCUUGACUGAGAUAAGGGGUACUGCUUAGUCAGUUUUAGAAGGACUUUUGCAGACCUCGAUAAAACUUUGUCCAAACAAAUCCUCCACCGCCUUGAACUGGAUCAACCACUUUUCCGGCACUACUUUACUAUUAUGGAUUGAGAUGGAUGUGUCAUGAGAGAGAGGAUGUGUCAUGAGAAAUGGCAGCGAGAGAGAGAACACCUGGCCUCCAUCCGCUAUCCAUCACUGUUAAAGCAAGACGGCGUUAUUGGACAAAGGACCUUAUAGCUCCCAAGAGAUUAUAUGGAUCUAUAAAUGGCUCUAGAGCUUUUUUUGUGUUAAAAAGAUAGCAUCUGCAGACUAUUGGCUUUGAAAGGCAUUGCCUGAGGCUCAAAUACAACUGCCUAUUAAUGACUUGUCAAGAGAAGGAAGGAAAAUAGCUGCAAAGAGUUCAUGGUAAGCUGUGCUGUUUUUUUUCUAAUUGCAGUUUUGAUUCCUUGGUUAUUGAUGAUUUGUUAAGUCCUUGAUACCUCUAAAAUGUUAUGUACUUCUGACGUAAUGAAAAUAAACUGUUUAAAAAUA